UUACCAAUGCACUUUUGCCCUGAAAAGAGUACGUGUCUCUUCCAUUUGCUUCUAAAGCAUGCUGAUUCCACGUGUCUUUAAUCCAACACAGACAAUAUAUUACCUUUACCUAAUAUUGCAACUUUUUCCUGCUUUCUCUGGUUCAUCGCUUUCUUGCUAUCUCUCUUGGGUCCAUUUCUAUUAUUUUGCUGGAUUUUUUUUUGAGUAUCUGAUUUGCGUUUAUCGGCAUAUUUUGCAUGUCUUCUUCGACUUCUUUUUCUAGGUUUUGUGAGUUUGCUUCUGCAAUUUCCUUUUGGUGUAAUUGCUAUCUCUUUGGUGCGUAUUAUAUUUAUUUGUUAUCACAAUAUUUUGUGACUGUAAAACUUUCGUAGGUCUAGCCUGAUAUACAGAUCACUUUAUGUGUUUUUUAUUUCUGAAUUAUUUUAUAUGUGGAAAUAUUAAUUUUGAAUGUCUGAUUUUGAUUCUGAACCGUAUCUAUCUGCUUUAAGGUUCCAAGAGAUUUCAAAAAUUAUGUUCAGGUGGUGGGACCAAUUGUUUCAACGAGGAAGUAUCAGGGGCAAAUUCUUAGAGGCAGGCUAAGGUUCUAAAGUGGAUUGAAGCUCAUAUUACAGUUGUCCACAUAAGCUAUCAAAACUUUAUGAAAUCAGAAUUGUGUUAUAGAAAGAAUUUAGCUUUGAACUCUUUCUUCCUUUUGCAGGAAUAUUAUGGCUAAAGAUGGACCAAGAUGGAGAAAGGCAUGUAAAUUUGCUCUUUGUUAUUGUAUGUUUGACUGUUGUUAUAUGUAAAUUUUCACAUUCAGAUUCAGGGUUAGGAUAUAAUACUUUAUCUAUGAACUUCCUUGCAUUUGGAGUUUAUAUAUGAGAUUGCAAUAUGUUCUUGGAUAUUAUAAAAUUAGCAAAAUCUAGCUAUUGAUAUGAAUUUUCCUUUUCCUCUAACAGAGAUGCAUAAUAUCCAGUUCCUUUUGGACUGUUAAUGCAUCAUCUAAGAUACGUGUCCUCUGACCUUAAAAAGGAAAAGGCACGUAUCAAUGCCUUAUCUUUCUCUGAAAUAUUCUACAUCGUUUUAAUCUUCUUGCUUUCAUUGCCUUCUGGAUUUAUUCAUCCUCUUCUGUAGCUGAUUCAUAAAAGAUCUUGAGGAUUAACCUGGUGCUUCUGAAUCUGUAGUGAAAAAUGACUGAAGACCCUUUCUCUUCAGGUUGUUGUUGGUGGAUUCUUGGGAUUGCAACAGUAGCAAUUGCUUGGCGAUUAGGGGCUCCGGAUAUCAAGCAUGAAGUUAGAUAAGCUUUUGCAUUCUACUGUUGCAACCAUACAAAUAAUCAAAGUAGUCGACAGAUAUCACCAAUUUUCUCAUUAUUUUGUCUCACUUCUGAAUUCCUCUUCAAGACACUAUAUGCAGUUACGCGAUAAUCAGAUCAAGUGACACUUAUGCAAGAGGACUAAUAUUGAUGAAAGUCCCUUCCUCUAAUACAUGGUUUUGAAAGAUCAAGUGAGUGGCUUCUCAUUGGAGUGAGCCAAAAAGGACUAUAAGAUCUUUGACCGAGAAUAAAUAUGAGUGCAUGUCAAUAUCACACUUACCGUACAUGUUUGUUUGGCAUCUGAACUCCUAAAUCUUGCAAUGUACCGUGAGUUUGGGUACGUAGAGGAAGAAAACCUGAAUGACUACUAACCAAUUAUCAAAUUGUAGAUUCGAAAGCUGUUUAUGCAGGGCGUGCUGGUUUAAUUUGAAACAGGGAAGUUUUGAACAGGAAAGAAUCAAAACUGAAAAGUCUGUUCCAAAUCCCAAAUACAGUAGGUAAAUCAUUAGAAGACUUGUGGCAGUGCUGAGCACCAAGUGCCAUUUAUAGUUGUUUUGUCAACUAAUUCAGGCGGUCAUCGGUUCUAUUUUUUGGUCCGAUGGAGAGGAUACAAUGCGAAGACAAUCCAGCCAACAAAUGUAUGAUUCAUACAUUUGGAUUCAUAACAGGUUAUCUUGGUGCUGUACUAUAGCAAAUCUGUUCAAAGGCAGAUAAAAGAAUGCGCCAGCUACUAUUUAAU